rnacentral:lncRNA from 1 species
CCCCGGGGAGCCGCAGCCCCUGCUCAGGGAAGAGAAAGGGGAGGCGUGAAUAGUGGUGGGGGGUGCUGGGCGCCGAGAGCCGUCAGGGCCUGGGACAGUGACCCCCUCCGUCCAAAUAACCUGAACCUCUUGUUCACUUUCUUUCCCUCACGAAUUAAUGAACUCCCCUUCUAUAAAGUAGGAAUCCCAGUCAUGGUCUCCUCUGAAUACCCCAGUGUCACGUUUGGCCACCCUGCCCCUCCAAAUGCUCCUCCCGCCAGCUCCAGCCACAGCCAAGGAGGCCUGAGGACUCACAUGCGGCUUCGCCAAGCCAGGAGAGGCAGGGUGGAUGGUCGGGGUCAUCCAUGGACUCCUGGCCUGCGUCUGAGGUGGGUAGUAGAAGUUCCACCAGAUCACUCCGUCCCCUGGGUGAGGGAAGGGUACCCCCAAAUAUGUUUGGUGAGGGAUGGGAGGCAUUGUUUAUCCCGGGGCCAUUUGAACAUCGGAAACCCAUGCAUGGAGACAGACCGGUGGAAAGCCACCCCUUUGCUUCUGCAGUUCGUGGGUCCCAUGCUCUCACUGUCAUCUUUGUACCAUGUGAACAAUGUAUGACUCAGGUGAAUCACUGCAGUAUCAUUUACAUCAGCUCAAGGUGGAAAUGAGCCACAUGCCCAUCAAAUUCACAAAGAUACAGACAAUGCACUGACACAAACAUACCGCUAAGAUUGUGUUAAUGCCGACAACAAGAGUAUAUGUUUGUGUUUCCUUAUACCUGUAUAAAUCACCCUGGAAGGUUCAGAAGAAACUAAUAAAUGCGGUU